ACUCAAAUGAAUAGACGGGGGCCCGCACAAGCGGUGGAGCAUGUGGUUUAAUUCGACGCAACGCGAAGAACCUUACCUGGGCUUGACAUGCACGGGAAAGCCGCUUGAAAGAGCGGCCCCUCUUCGGAGUCCGUGCACAGGUGCUGCAUGGCUGUCGUCAGCUCGUGUCGUGAGAUGUUGGGUUAAGUCCCGCAACGAGCGCAACCCCCGCCCCCAGUUGCCAGCGGAGGCCUUAAAACCUGCCGGGGACUCUGGGGGGACUGCCGGUGCCAAACCGGAGGAGGGUGGGGACGACGUCAAGUCAUCAUGGUCCUCACGUCCAGGGCCACACACGUGCUACAAUGGGCGGUACAGAGGGCCAGCGAGCCGGCGACGGCGAGCGAAUCCCAGAAAGCCGCCCUCAGUGCGGAUCGGAGGCUGCAACCCGCCUCCGUGAAGCCGGAAUCGCUAGUAAUCGGGGAUCAGCCACGCCCCGGUGAAUACGUUCCCGGGCCUUGUACACACCGCCCGU
rnacentral:rRNA from 1 species